rnacentral:ncRNA from 1 species
UGAUACAUGAGCACUUGACGAGAGGACCGGGUUGAACGUACCUCUGGUGUACCGGCUUUGAUACCAAUUGAAAUGCCGGGUAGCUAUGUACGGAAGGGAUAAGCGCUGAAAGCAUCUAAGCACGAAGCCUACCCCAAGAUUAGAUAUCAUGUGGCUCCUGGAAGACUACCAGGUUGAUAGGCUCUAGGUGUAAGAUCCGUAAGGAUUUUAGCCGAGGAGUACUAAUGUCCA